UACGAAGGGGGCUAGCGUUGUUCGGAAUCACUGGGCGUAAAGAGCUCGUAGGCGGCUUUGUCAGUCGGGUGUGAAACCUCCAGGCUCAACCUGGAGCCGCCACCCGAUACUGCAAUGGCUAGAGUCCGGUAGGGGAGCAUGGAACUCCUGGUGUAGCGGUGAAAUGCGCAGAUAUCAGGAAGAACACCAGUGGCGGAAGGCGGUGCUCUGGGCCGGAACUGACGCUGAGGAGCGAAAGCGUGGGGAGCAAACAGG
rnacentral:rRNA from 1 species